rnacentral:lncRNA from 1 species
GCGCAUUUUAUGAAAAAAAAAUCUGGUGAUUACAAUUCAUUAUUGUCGAAAGAAAUAACAAAUAUUUGUUUUUCCAUCUUGUUUACUUUUAUUGGGUUUCUCAGACUGCACCUUACCAGACCAAAAUUGGAAUUCACCUUGAACUCGUUCUUCAAAGGAAUUAUUAAUAAAGGUACUGAUUGUUUAUUUUACGACAUGUUGUGGUUAAACGGCGUCACAUGUCACCAAAUGGAUUUAUCUAUAACUUUGCAAAGCACAUACAAAGUUUACGUCUCCACGUUUUCUUUUUAACGAUGGCCCUGAAAAAAU